UCUUGUGGAUAAGUUCAACCUUCUGGAUAACAUAGACCCAUACGGGUCUCACAAUUUUAUAAAGCUUGCAUUUCACUUUGGUAUAUGAUUUUUUGUCGCAUAGCAGUCCUGUAGCACUACUCCAUUUCAGCCAGGAGCCAGAAAAAUGUAAGGAAUGAACAAGGAUAUUCUUGUAAGAAGUGGCAACUGUCUAGGGUAAGCAAGACAAGAAGACGAAAAGGCCAGCAACUCCCUUAAUCUCAAGGUAGAGGAUGAAAACAAGAACCCUGCUGCACCUAUUUCUACAUAUGCUACUGCAUACACACUGUCAUUGCUCUCAUAGCAUCCAGGAUGCCCUGGUAACUAAAACUGCAGCUAAAUAAACAAGUCUACCUACUUAAUAUGCUACAUCAACAGGA
rnacentral:lncRNA from 1 species